rnacentral:lncRNA from 1 species
GGUGAGACUAUCUCAAAACACAUGCCCAUAUACACGCAUAUACACAAGCACCUACAGUUGUAGACUAAGCUUCUGGCAUUAGUAACUUUUACAUGCUGUUAGUGGUCUGUAUUGGUCAUUUUACACAGUGACCUAUCUUUAACAUUUCUAGUUCUGCUCUUAUUGUAAAGAACUCUCCAUUGACCCUCUCAGUUGACCCUCCUGUCUUUAUAUAAGUCUCUUGUAGCUGGUAAACACGUUCAAACAUGUAUGCUUUGUAAACAAGCAGCAAACUGGGUGUGGCCUCACCUAGAAGAUGAGUCUCUGGCUUUAUGUUUUUGACUCUGUACUGAUAUCAAGUAAAUGCAUUUCUAGUCCACUUGGUGAAAACGGGUAUUACCUGAGAGACUAAUUGGUGGCAUCUCUUGUCUUUUAAGGCACAUAAAAGCUCGAAAGGAAGCAGUGCUUGUGGAAAAAGAGAGAUCUGCUAAAAUGGCCAGGCUGCCACCACCUGUCCCGUCCCCCUUUGAGAACAUUGACAUAAACAGAAUUCCUUCAUUGAAAACCAACCGUUCCACCUACCAUCAUAUUUCUGCCUUUGUGAGUAGACAGAUGGGUACAAAGCAGGUGAUUGACUUACUGUUUGUUCAUGACCUCACUUGAGCAUUUCUGUGUUUUAUCAGUUGAGUUUUAUCUUGAUUCUGUGUCUGGUGUGGCCAGUUCUCAAAAUUUAAACAAUCCUGCUAACUUCUCUAGAGAACACAAAGUCUUCUAAGUGUGCUUUGAAUUUUCAUGUCAGAUAUGGUGGUCCUGUAAACUGGAAGAAAUCCAUGAUGUUUGUGACUGUCUUUUACAUAAUAAAUUAUUUUUAUCAUA